AUACGUAGGGUGCGAGCGUUGUCCGGAAUUACUGGGCGUAAAGAGCUCGUAGGUGGUUUGUCGCGUCGUCUGUGAAAUUCCGGGGCUUAACUCCGGGCGUGCAGGCGAUACGGGCAUAACUUGAGUACUGUAGGGGAGACUGGAAUUCCUGGUGUAGCGGUGAAAUGCGCAGAUAUCAGGAGGAACACCGGUGGCGAAGGCGGGUCUCUGGGCAGUAACUGACGCUGAGGCGCGAAAGCAUGGGUAGCGAACAGGAUUAGAUACCCUGGUAGUCCAUGCCGUAAACGGUGGGCGCUAGGUGUAGGGGUCUUCCACGACUUCUGUGCCGUAGCUAACGCAUUAAGCGCCCCGCCUGGGGAGUACGGCCGCAAGGCUAAAACUCAAAUGAAUUGACGGGG
rnacentral:rRNA from 1 species